CCACCAUUUCUUCAUUGGAUAAUUCUAUGGGUACAGGAAAGUUGGAUAGAAUACUUACAGGAUUUCAAAUUUGCACCUGCACACAUAUCCCACAUAUAAUACGUCUUUUUAUUUCCUUCGAUUUUCAGCCCAAAAUCGGACCGGCCAUUUGCCACCAUAAAAUGAACCCGUAUCGUUUUCCCCCCAAAUCAUUUCCUUUUAUCCCUCAAAACCAGAAAGCAAGACGCUCUUCCCGUCGCUCUUCCCGCAUCUCUUCAUCUUUGAAUUUCUAGGCCCACGACAGGGAAAUCAAGCACGGGCUCAUCUAUUCUAGAACAUCCUUCUACCCAAGAACGACGAAGGCAACUGAAACCGAAGGUGGAAAUAGAUGAUGGACAAAGGAAAAGAGAUUAUAGAAGAUGAGAAUCCUGAUGUCGUUGUAGAAAGUGAUGAUGAGAACAUGGCCGCAAAUUUGAACACAUUGGACAAAAUUAGAAGGAGAUGUUGUGACUAAGCUUGAGGUCGGUAUGAUGUUUAAUAGUGAAGAAGAAAUCUUGGACUUCUAUAAACGAUAUACUUACGGGAUAGGUUUUCUAGUGAGGAAACAAAAUUCGAAAAAGGGGGAAGAUGGAGUUAUGAGAUACGUGACGUUUACAUGUAGUCAUGAUGGUCAAAGAAUUUACGCAACAGGAGGUUCUCUAAAGCCGCAACCAACAAAUCAGACAAGAAUAUCUACAUCAUUAGAUAGUCUUGGAAUUUGGAGAAUUAACAAAGUGUUCCUCUAGCAUAAUCAUAGGACAAGUCCUUCUAAGUCAAGAUUGUAUCGAUGCAAUCAAAAGUUGACUGCAGGUGCGAAGUGAAAUCUCAAGUUAAAUGAUAUGGCAGGAAUGCCCUUGCACAAGAGUUUUAACUCAGCAGUUGUGGCAGCAGGUGGAUAUGAGAACAUAACGUUCAUGGAAAAGGACUGUUGGAACUACAUAGAUCAGGUGAGAUGACUACGACUCGGUGAAGGAAAUGUGAUCGCAAUCAAGGGUACUUUUCAAAGAUGCAAGCACGUUGCUCAGGAUUUUAUUUCAGAAUGGACUUACACGAUGAGUCACGACUAAGGAAUGUACUUUGGGCAGAUAAUAGAUAUAAUCAGUCUCACAAAGAGUUCAGUGACGUGGUCACUUUUGAUACUAUGUAUCUUACUAAUAAAUAUGAUAUGCCCUUCAUCCCUUUUGUUGGCGUAAAUCAUCACGGACAAUUGACUCUGCUUGGUUGUGGACUAUUAUCGAAUGAAGACACAUGUAGUUUUAUGUGGUUGUUCAAGAUAUGGCUAGAGUGCAUGCAUGGUGAAGCCCCUAGUGGAAUAAUUACUGAUCAAGAUCGAGCAAUCAAAAUGCAAUUGAGUUUGUAUUUCCAAAUACGAGGCAUAGAUGGUGUUUGUGGCAUAUUUUGAAGAAGCUGCCAGAAAAGUUUGGGUUUCAUGCACAUAAGGGCGCCAUAUUUUCUGCUAUACACGAGCUAGUAUAUGAAUCACAGUUCGUUGAAGAAUUUGAGCACGAUUGGAGGAUGAUGCUCGAUAUUUAUGACUUGAAAUAGAAUGAUUGGUUGUCGGGCCUGUACGGUAACAGAAGUCGUUGGGCUCCUUGUUUUUUGAAGACCACUUUUUGGGUAAGGAUGUCCACAACACAACGAAGUGAGAGUAUGAAUGCAUUUUUUUUUAUAGAUAUGUGCAUUCGAAAACUUCGUUGAAGCAGUUCGUUGAACAGUAUGAAAGAGCACUGAGGAAUAAGGUUUAGAAAGAGUUUCAGGCUGAUUUCAAGUCAUUUUCUCAAAUGGUACAUGUGCAACUACUUUUGAAAUAGAGAAACAGUUUCAAUCAGUUUACACAAUUUCGAAGUUCAAGGAAGUACAAAAUGAGUUCACUGGGAAGGUAUACUAUGAUCUAAUUUUUGAGGAGGAAUGUUUUUGGAUGAAUUAUGAGGUUCAUGAGCAUCAGAAGAACAUAACAUUUUGCAUCUCAUUUCGGAGAGAUCCUUGCGAAUUCACUUGUAGUUGCCACUUAUUCGAGUUUUGAGGAAUCAUUUGUCGGCAUGCGAUCACAGUUUUGGUCCGCAAUCGCAUCACUGCAAUGCCUGAUAGGUAUAUACUACGAAGAUGAUGGAGAGAUGUCAAAAGAGCAAACACAAUGGUCAAAGUCAAUUAUGCUGGGUUAGGAAGUACUCCGGGACAGGUACGAUAUGACAAUAUGUGCGAGGCUUUCUCAGAGGUAGCAUACCUCACUGUAGAUGAUGAAGAGUGGUCACGUGCUAUGACGAAAUGGAUAAAACUGCAACCAGAACACAUGCAGACGUCAAAGUCGAGCAGCGGAAGCAAAGCCAUUUCGCAGCAUGUUAUUCGUUCAGCCAGCCUCUGAUUGUAAUAAGUCACAAAAUUCUGCAAGCAUGAGCAUAUUGGAUCCUAAUCAUCCAAAAGAAAGGGCGCACCGAGGAAACUUCGACGGAGAGGCUGCUUGGAGUCCACCUAAUACAAAUCGAAGUCCACAUCAACAAAGAGGCCUAGUAUUAUGGAGGAGAAUGUAAGUGAUUCAUAUUCAUCUCGAGUACCGCAACGUUCUAUGCCGCCGGAAAUAUCAUAUUCGGAACUCCUAUUGGUCAUGUGUUGCCAUACUACUAUCGUCAUUUGCUCGACGACGAUGGCAAAAGGUCGUGAUUAUAGCUGGUCAAGUAUAUUUGCACCAUCUGUAUUGUACUUAUCCAAUACCAUCCUUAGGUACAAAUAUUGAGCCAGCGGACUAAACCAAUAAUUCUUGAAAUCUGACCAGUUGAUUUGGCCAUCCGAGUUUGAUUCAGCCUGAGCACCGAUCGAUUGAAAUUAAUUGUCAAAAGUAGGUAAGUCGAAGGCAAAAAUAAUCAACCAUAUUACUGGUAAAAAUAAAUAUUUGUACCUUAGGAUGCAAUGUUGUUGUUUCAUUGGAUUUUCUGUAUUAAUCAGUCCUUGGAUUUUACACUCACUGUGAACGCAUUGGUGGCUGCAUUUUUUGAAAGGAAAUAGGUGAUAUUAGAUAAUGGACAUCAACAUCAUGGUGCUGUUUCAUUUCACGUGAUCCUAUUGCAGUUAGUUGAAGCAUGCAGACAUUUAUCUACUCUAGUUCAGAGGUAAAAUGCAGGGAACAUGCCGAAAAAAGGCACCCCAAAAUUCUUAGUUUUAUUCUUGAAUUUCUAGAUUGUCUAUUUAAUCAAGCAUGUAGUUGUGAAUGGCAUAUUUCUAAUUUAAUGACACUGUGGCAAUUGUAUUUUCUAUUUAAAACCAUGAGAUUAUCUUC